rnacentral:rRNA from 1 species
CGAUGUGAUAAUUUCUACGUCGUUGACCAUCUCGGGGCUGACCUAGUCAGUUUCAAUAGGAGUCUGCUUCUAACCGUCUCUUGACUGAGACUAGCGACUUGUGCGCUAACUUUUGACUUGACCUCAAAUCAGGUAGGACUACCCGCUGAACUUAAGCAUAUCAAUAAGCGGAGGAAAAGAAACUAACAAGGAUUCCCCUAGUAACUGCGAGUGAAGCGGGAAAAGCUCAAAUUUAAAAUCUGGCGGUCUCCGGCCGUCCGAGUUGUAAUUUAGAGAAGCGUUAUCCGUGCUGGACCGUGUAUAAGUCUCCUGGAAUGGAGCGUCAUAGAGGGUGAGAAUCCCGUCUUUGACACGGACUACCAGUGCAUUGUGAUGCGCUCUCGACGAGUCGAGUUGUUUGGGAAUGCAGCUCAAAAUGGGUGGUAAAUGCCAUCUAAAGCUAAAUAUUGGCGAGAGACCGAUAGCGAACAAGUACCGUGAGGGAAAGAUGAAAAGAACUUUGGAAAGAGAGUUAAACAGUACGUGAAAUUGUCGAAAGGGAAACGGUUGCAGUCAGUCGCGUCCGCCGGGGAUCAACCUUGCUUUUGCUUGGCGUAUUUCCCGGUGGAUGGGUCAGCAUCAGUUUUGACCGCAGUUGAAAGGCUGGAGGAAUGUGGCACCUUCGGGUGUGUUAUAGCCUCCUGUCAUAUGCUGCGGUUGGGACUGAGGAACUCAGCACGCCGAAAGGCCGGGAUUCGUCCACGUUCGUGCUUAGGAUGCUGGCAUAAUGUCUGUAACCGACCCGUCUUGAAACACGGACCAAGGAGUCUAACAUGCACGCGAGUGUUUGGGUGGCAAA